rnacentral:rRNA from 1 species
CAGUCGCCACGGGAAUACGAAGGGUGCAAGCGUUACUCGGAAUUACUGGGCGUAAAGCGUGCGUAGGUGGCGGUUUAAGUCCGUUGUGAAAGCCCUGGGCUCAACCUGGGAAUUGCAGUGGAUACUGGGUCACUAGAGUGUGGUAGAGGAUAGUGGAAUUUCCGGUGUAGCAGUGAAAUGCGUAGAGAUCGGAAGGAACAUCUGUGGCAAAGGCGACUAUCUGGGCCAACACUGACACUGAGGCACGAAAGCGUGGGGAGCAAACAGGAUUAGAUACCCCUGUAGUCCCUGUCUCUUAUAA